rnacentral:rRNA from 1 species
GUGCCAGCCGCCGCGGUAAUACCGGCAGUCCGAGUGAUGGCCGAUCUUAUUGGGCCUAAAGCGUCCGUAGCUGGCCGCACAUGUCCAUCGGAAAAUCCACCCGCCCAACGGGUGGGCGUCCGGUGGAAACUGUGUGGCUUGGGACGGGAAGGCGCGACGGGUACGUCCGGGGUAGGAGUGAAAUCCCGUAAUCCUGGACGGACCGCCGAUGGCGAAAGCACGUCGCGAGGACGGAUCCGACAGUGAGGGACGAAAGCCAGGGUCUCGAACCGGAUUAGAUACCCGCGUAGUCC